GAGGUGGGCCGGGCGGCCGCGUCCCCUCACCCGCGAGGGGGAGGGGCCGAGGAAGGUCCGGGCUCCACAGGGCGCGGUGGUGGGUAACGCCCACCCGGGGUGACCCGCGGGACAGUGCCACAGAGAACAGACCGCCACCGCAGCUGCGGUGGUGAGGGUGAAACGGUGGUGUAAGAGACCACCAGCACCCCGGGUGACCGGGGUGGCUAGGCAAACCCCACCGGGAGCAAGGUCAAGAAGCCGUCCGCAGCGAUGCGGGCGGCGCGCGGAUGAUCGAGGGCGGCCCGCCCGAGUCCGCGGGUAGACCGCAGGAGACCGCCGGCGACGGCGGUCCGGAGAUGGAUGGUCGCCGAACCGGGAGCCGCGAGGCCCCGGGGAACAGAACCCGGCCUACAGGCCCACCUCUCUG
rnacentral:RNase_P_RNA from 1 species